UCAUUAAAUUCAUAAUGAAACGAUAUUUCAGUUUGGAAUGAAAAACAGUGGGUACACAUAAUAAGAAUCUGUCAAGUGAAAGUUUAUUGAGUCUUCUUCUAUUCCGAUUACUUUAAAAACAUUAAGAACUAUGACUGCCUCUUUCUUAUACACGAUGGGUAUGUUAUAGGCUACAUGCUUGAAAAUAUAAUGCAUAAAUAUGAAUAUCGUGACAAACUGAAACUGACAACAAAAAAAAAAACGUUUGCUCACGCGCUUUACUGUUUCUUUACAGAGCAGUGUAUCUGUUAAAAUAAUAAAUAGCUUAAAACUAAAUAACAACUACAACAAAAAAACAAUUGUCUGUAAAUAACUAUAUCUAACAGAGCGAGAUGAAAUAAUCAAACAAUGAAUGAAAAUGUGUAAAUAUCACAGUUCUUCAUCCACGGUGUGUUCCAGACGUUGAUUUAAAGAAAAAAUCAGGCAUGGCAGAUGGGGCUGAUUCGUUGUCAAUUGUUUCAUUAAUUAUGGCAACUAAAGAAAGUUCAUUAUCAUGUGUAGGUAAUUUCUGGACAACUUGAGCCCAUAUGCACAUAGGGGUUCAAUGCCUGCAAUGUCAUAAAUGUAUGCAUUGGAAUUGUUCUUAGUGCGAUUUUCGUAGUGUUCGCUGUACACAUUUCCUGAAGACUUUUUUCUCUUGAAUUUCCAGUUCUUUGGCCACUGUGAGAUAGUGGACCAGAUUGGAAAGGCGUAUGUCAACACAGGUCUCACAGCCACUUUAUACACUAAUAACUUGGUAGACUGAGCAUCUCUCUUGCAUGUGUAUUGAAUCUCAACUCUGGAUUCUACAGGAAUGCUGACUCCAUUGAGGAUGAGCUGCUAAUUUCUCAAGAGAUAUUUCGGGAGAUUUGUGAUGUACAUAUAAAAGGCAAUCAUCUGCAUAUAGAAUGGCCUGCGAAUCAAACGCUGUGUGAGGAAAGUCAUGUAAGAAUAAAUUUAACAGAUACGGCACCAAUACACGUUCCUGCGGUACUCCGCUGUUAACAGAACCAAAUGUUGAUAAUGUGCCCCGAAUAUACACCCAAAAUCUUUGGUUUUGAAAGUAACUACGCAGAAUGUUGGCAAGAAAUGGAUCCGUUUCCAAGGUAAGCUUAUACAAUAUGCCCAUAUGACGAACUGAAUCAAACGCCUUCUCUAUGUCAAGAGAUAUUGCUACGAUACAGUAUUGGUUGUGGAGAUAAUAUCACUAUAGAACUUUAACAGCGCUUGCUGAGUAGAAUGCGCUUUUCUAAAACCAAACUGAUAAUAAGGUAUUCGUUUGAUUAUUAACCAUUUUCAAUUUAUUCUUUUAAGAGGUGUUCAAAUACCUUGCCAAUGUUUGAUAGAAGGGAAAUCGGAUAAUAAUCGGAAGGAAGCAUACUAUCCGAUUUCUUUUUGAUUGGUAUUAUUUUCACCACUUUCCAAUCAGACGGAAAAUAUCCGUUGUUAAUACAAUGAUUAAAAAUAACGGGUUGCCAAAGUGGUAAUUAUCUUGAUUAUGAACAGCACCAAAAUCAUCAUCAAAGGUAUAAAUGUGACGAGGAAUGGCAUUUGUGAAGCCAAAAUUCUGGAUUGCAAUUCUUCAACUGGAUGUGUGGGUAGUGUUUGGCAGAACGUUUCAGAAUAAAACUCCUGGAACUCGUGCGCAAUUCCGGUGGUGCUGGUGCGUACAUCAUUGUUCCGUACAAUUUGAUGGCAGAAUGGAGCUUUUGUUUUACCCGAUAUUUGGUAAAUGUUCAGUUGGCAGUUGGGCCAGGUUUAAUCUCCUGCAGUCUUUCGUCGAAAUAGCUGACCGUCUCCUUAAUAAUAGUCUUUAUCAGUUGAAUUUGUUUGGAUAGCACAACAUAUCUACUGCCUAUCCGGUUCCCCGUUGGAUGAAAAAUAUUUUUCAAUUUCUUUUGCCAUGUGUGUUUAAUUUUAUAAAAUUUCUUUGCCUUUUCAUAAAGAGGAAAUUUAUUGCCUUGGAUAAGGUUUUGUAUGGUUUGGUAUGGGCGUUGUGCAUGGAACUGAAAGAGAAUUUGAAAUCGUCUAUUAAGGAAUCGAUCUCGUGAUCUUCAAGAUUCGAUGAAGAAAGGGGCAUAUUGCGAAGAGAUCCAGCGUCCAUAUGUUGUACAAAAUUAGACCAAUUUGUAUCUUUAUAGGAGGCAUAUAUUCGGGCUGAUAUCAUCAAAAGUUCCGGUUGAUCAACACGACGAGUCAGCUUAACAGGAAAAUGAUCAGAGAAAGAAUGUGAAAAUUUGGCACGGUUCCGUUCAAUAGAUGUGAGCUUAACAAAAACUGAUCUAAAAAUUAUGAACCAUUUGGAUAUGAAGGCGAAGUGUAACAAAGGCAGCUCACAUCGAGGCUAUUAUCCUCAAGCCAUUUCCGUAAAGUCUUUCCAUUCAUGCCAUCUUUAGGUGCCAUUCCUGAAUGAAGCCAAUGCCGAUUCGAUUGAGAUGAAGAGUAUCCUUUAGGUCUAUUUGUCGACUGAUAUCGACAGGAGAUCUUACAUUGCGCAAAAAUUCUGCUUUGGCCUCGGGUUUUGGCAUGUCUGAAUAUUAAGAAAGAAAAAUGUUGACCUUUUGCUCCAAGGUCAAAUCUUCCGGAUCCAGAAAAAGGGAUGCCAAUUUUAAAAAUUGGUCACUUGGUGGUGGUUUUUGUUGUGGCGCUUUAUUGCGUAAGACAAGCUCUAUUUAUAUUGGCCUUGGUACGCUCCCUCUCCUCAAUGGCCUUAGAUAUCCGUUGCUUAAGGGCAGCAACGCUUGAUGGCCCGUCUCACCACAGUUGUUGCUGAAGGGAUCACUUGAGUCAUCCUUUGUACGCUGACAUUCCCCUGGACCAUGCUCCUUAUCACAUUUUACACAAUUAUAAGCUGAAUUUCAAUUCUUUGAGAUGUGUCCCCAUCGUUGGCAUCUUCUACAUUAAAUUUCGGAAUUUUUUUCUUGGUUUUUCCCACGAAACAAAUUGGUAAUGUAUAGUUCUUACAUUAGAGAUAUGAGAAAGUUUUUUCCCGGCAAUAGUGAAACUAAAAACAGACCUGUAUCUGUACUCCUUUGAGUUUUAUACUUCAUAACCUUUGCAAUUGUAUUCGGGACAUCUUCAUCUUAUCCUGCCUUUAUAUCUUCCGUUUCAGUGUUAGAAGCCAGAAUGAAAGAUGGCUGUUUUAAUUCCUUGGGUGCAAACGAGUAAGAGUGGAUGCCUUUUUCUCGGAGAAGUGCCAUCAUUGGAGAAUGGACAGAUGGUUCAGCAACAAAAUAAUUUACUUUUAUUCAUAUUAAUAUUUUUUACCUUAAAAGAAAAUUUCGGUAUAGUUUCUUUCAAGGUGUCAACAAGAGCCUUGAUGUUCACGUUGUAAAUAAAAAUUGAUGGACACCAUUUCGGUUUUGUCUCACCAUC